CACUCAACUAUUUUAUUUUUUCCUUCCCAUCCAAAUCCAUGUUUUGCCAACUGGGAUUCAAUACUUUGCAGACUACCUGAUGACUGGGAGGGUGUUCCACCCCCACACCCUCCUCUAGCCACUCCUGCAGCCACCCCUGCUUCACCCUAUCCUGCUCAUGUAUGGGUCAGUGGCAUUUCAACUUUCAAUUUACUUUUUGAGUAACAGGGCCUUACAGGGGUUUGACUACCUCACUGGUGUUCGUUACGGGUGAUGUCAAUAAACUUGACAUCUAGUAUCGUAAUCUCUCAAUAACACCCUACAUUUUACCCUAACCCCCACUGUUGUAAACACCUAUGAGAUAGUCAAACUGGAGGAACAGAGCACCAGGGGUCCACCUCAACACAGAGGGGUGUACACCAGAAUGGCCACAUGAAAUUAAACUAAUUUUGAUAGAAUUUACUUUAUAUAUUAAUAAUAAAACACAAGAAAAUGCAAAUG